rnacentral:rRNA from 1 species
UACGUAGGCAGCGAGCGUUGUUCGGAUUUACUGGGCGUAAAGGGCGCGUAGGCGGUCGUGACAAGUCACUUGUGAAAUCUCCGGGCUUAACUCGGAACGGUCAAGUGAUACUGUCGGACUAGAGUACAGAAGGGGCAACUGGAAUUCUCGGUGUAGCGGUGAAAUGCGUAGAUAUCGAGAGGAACACCUGCGGCGAAGGCGGGUUGCUGGGCUGAUACUGACGCUGAGGCGCGAAAGCGUGGGGAGCAAACAGG